AUACGUAGGGGGCAAGCGUUAUCCGGAUUUACUGGGUGUAAAGGGAGCGUAGACGGAAGGCCAAGUCUGAUGUGAAAGCCCGCGGCUCAACUGCGGGACUGCAUUGGAAACUGGUCAUCUGGAGUGCAGGAGGGGUAAGCGGAAUUCCUAGUGUAGCGGUGAAAUGCGUAGAGAUUGGGAGGAACACCAGUGGCGAAGGCGACUUACUGGACUGUAACUGACGCUGAGGCGCGAAAGUGUGGGGAGCAAACAGGAUUAGAUACCCUGGUAGUCCACACUGUAAACGAUGAAUGCUAGGUGUAGGGGGUAUCGACCCCUUCUGUGCCGCAGUCAACACAAUAAGCAUUCCGCCUGGGGAGUACGGCCGCAAGGUUGAAACUCAAAUGAAUUGACGGGG
rnacentral:rRNA from 1 species